rnacentral:lncRNA from 1 species
AAUGACAUAGACAUGAUAGAGAGACAGAAGGUGAGAUCACAUCUUCAUAUUCUAGAUACACAUUGAAGCUAUCACAAUGCAUUGUCACAAAGCAUUCUAUAAUAGCACAACACAUUCUUCAGGUUCCGUGCAUAGAAGCUAGCAAGUUAGCACAAUACAUUUUUAGGUUCCACCUACAGGUAGCCAGCACAACAGAUUGUCAUACGAAUCUAACAAUUAGGGAAAUAGAAAAGUUGAUAGAAAGUAGCAUGCACAUCCAAGCGACCAGCCCUACUCCACCCCACCUCUCCUCGCCGCCGCCAGAGGCGGUCUCCGGGCAAGUCCGGGGCGCCGCCAAGGAAGGUGGCGGCGGGGCAAGUUGCUGCUCUGCUUCCGCGGGGGCGUUCGGAUCUGGGGCGGCGGCCCCUCUGGUGAGGCACCACCGGCUUAGCGGCGGGCGGUGGUGCGGGCGUUUGGUUCCGGCGUUCUUGGUCGCGCGGGCGGCGGAAUCUCGGAGGACGAGGGCGACGGCGCCAGAUCUGGCGCCCCUCCUCCCUGUACGGCGUGUUCUCCCCCAUCCGGCCCGCCCGUGUUCCAUGGGACGCCGGCGCUGGUGGUGCUAGUGGUGGGGAAUCCAGUCCGGGCGAAAGCCAUGGCCGACCAUGCUCGGCUGCGUCGACGGCGACGCCUGAGGGCGCCGUGUCCCUCCUUGGAGGCGUCUGACAGGUCUGAUCCCCCCACUCCCCCUUCCCCUAGUUCUCCCGGGCGAAAGCUCCAACUUUGUUGGGCGGCGGCGGCGCCAUCGGCGUCGUAUCCUUCUUGAAGGCGCCGUUUAGGGAGCUUGGUGGUCGGUGGGCGCUGUUGGGGUGCGGGGGGUGGCGGCGGUGGUACCCUCCUCGUCCUAGCUCUUGCUUUCCAUCGCCAUUGUAUCUUUCCGCUCUGCAAGGUGGUGGCGCUGUCUAGAGGACGGCGACGUUGGUGGAGCGGUGCUUCAUCUUUCACAUUGAUGAUGGCGGAUCUCGGCGGCAUGGUGCUGUGGAGACUCGGCAUCUGAUGCGCGGAGAUGGACUCGUGCAGGAGGAGGAAGCUGUCUGGCGUCAUGGGGACGUCGAUGGCAGACUGGCCAGACAAGGUAGAAGCCUCAAUUUGAUCUGAAGACGGACCUGUGGAAGAUGGCGGCGACGACACACGAGUGCGUCUGACCGGAUUGCGCCCCAGACCCAGUAUGUGGCUCGGCUGGGGUUACCGAAUGAGUUUCGGCUUCCGGCUUUUGAUGUUAGGCUUAGGUGAGUGGUUUGGGUAGUGGCCCAGCUAGCACCCCCUCAUCAUAUUGGAUAGGAGUAGCGGCACAUGUUGCCAAGAUGAUGGAUUCAGACACAUUGUUGUAAUACUUUGUAUGGUUAUCGAGAAUAAUCAAUAAAGUGGCCGUAUGCAUCUCCCAGAUGCAGAGGCCGGGGGUCAUCCUCCUUUUCUAAAAAAAAAAAAAAAACAUCCAAGCGAAACACAAGUAGAAGGAGCAAUGACCAUAUUAAUCUUGAGCUACUACGACGAUGCAAUGUGCAUUGCAUUCUAGUUCCGGAGGUCCUUG